rnacentral:rRNA from 1 species
AACGUCUCAGUUCGGAUUGUAGUCUGCAACUCGACUACAUGAAGCUGGAAUCGCUAGUAAUCGCGAAUCAGAAUGUCGCGGUGAAUACGUUCCCGGGUCUUGUACACACCGCCCGUCACACCAUGGGAGUUGGGAAUGCCCGAAGCCGGUGACCUAACCGAAAGGGAGGAGCCGUCGAAGGCAGGCUUGAUAACUGGGGUGAAGUCGUAACAAGGUAUC